GCGGCAGUAGCUCAGUUGGAUAGAGCAGUGACCUUCUAAGUCACCGGUCGGGGGUUCGACUCCCUCCUGUCGCG
rnacentral:tRNA from 1 species